GUGAGGCUACCGAACGUUGGAAACAGCGGUUAGGAGCUUACACCCACCCGUGUCUACAUACUAUUGUUGCUUUGGCGGGCCGUGGCCUCCACUGCGGGCUCUGCUCGUGUGUGCCCGCCAGAGAACCAAACUCUGAAUGUUAGUGAUGUCUGAGUACUAUCUAAUAGUUAAAACUUUCAACAACGGAUCUCUUGGUUCUGGCAUCGAUGAAGAACGCAGCGAAAUGCGAUAAGUAAUGUGAAUUGCAGAAUUCAGUGAAUCAUCGAAUCUUUGAACGCACAUUGCGCCCUGUGGUAUUCCGCAGGGCAUGCCUGUUCGAGCGUCAUUUAACCACUCACGCCUAGCGUGGUAUUGGGGCACGCGGUCUCCGCGGCCCUCAAAAUUAGUGGCGGCGCCGGUGGGCUCUAAGCGUAGUACAUACUCCCGCUAUAGAGUUCCCCCGGUGGCUCGCCAGAACCCCCAAUUUUUACAGGUUGACCUCGGAUCAGGUAGGGAUACCCGCUGAACUUAAGCAUAUCAAUAAG
rnacentral:rRNA from 1 species